UCAUAUGCUUGUCUCAAAGAUUAAGCCAUGCAUGUCUAAGUACAUACCGCAUUAAGGUGAAAACCGCGAAAGGCUCAUUAAAUCAGUUAUGGUUCCUUAGAUCGUACAAAUCCUACUUGGAUAACUGUGGUAAUUCUAGAGCUAAUACAUGCCGAUAAUGCUCCGACCACUCGCCCGGGACGAGCGCUUUUAUUAGAACAAGACCAAUACGGGACAAUCGAAACCAAACCCCGGCGGGCUCGUCAAAAAAGUCCGUCGGGAUGGUCUAGAACCCGUCAAAAAACUUGGUGACUCUGGAUAACUUUGAGCUGAUCGCACGGUCCUCGCACCGGCGACGCAUCUUUCAAAUGUCUGACUUAUCAACUGUCGAUGGUAGGUUAUGUGCCUACCAUGGUUAUAACGGGUAACGGAGAAUCAGGGUUCGAUUCCGGAGAGGGAGCCUGAGAAACGGCUACCACAUCCAAGGAAGGCAGCAGGCACGCAAAUUACCCACUCCCGGCACGGGGAGGUAGUGACGAAAAAUAACAAUACGAGACUCUUCCGAGGCCUCGUAAUUGGAAUGAGCACAUUUUAAAACCUUUAGCGAGGAUCUAUUGGAGGGCAAGUCUGGUGCCAGCAGCCGCGGUAAUUCCAGCUCCAAUAGCGUAUAUUAAAGUUGUUGCGGUUAAAAAGCUCGUAGUUGGACCUAGGAGCCGAGUCAGUGGUCCGCCCCUCGCUUGGGCGGUACACUGCUGAUAUUCGGACCCAUAUUUAACCCCGCCGGCCUUUGUCCCGCGAUGCUCUUCACCGAGUGUCGUGCGGAGACCGGAACGUUUACUUUGAACAAAUUAGAGUGCUCAAGGCAGGCGCAGUCCCCGCCCGCAUAGCCCAGCAUGGAAUAAUGGAAUAAGACCCCGGUUCUAUUUUGUUGGUUUUCGGAACACGAGGUAAUGAUUAAUAGGGACUGACGGGGGCAUUCGUAUUGCGGCGCUAGAGGUGAAAUUCUUGGACCGUCGCAAGACGAACUACUGCGAAAGCAUUUGCCAAGAAUGUUUUCAUUGAUCAAGAACGAAAGUUAGAGGUUCGAAGGCGAUCAGAUACCGCCCUAGUUCUAACCAUAAACGAUGCCAACCAGCGAUCCGCCGGAGUUCCUCCGAUGACUCGGCGGGCAGCUUCCCGGGAAACCACAAGUUUUUGGGUUCCGGGGGAAGUAUGGUUGCAAAGCUGAAACUUAAAGGAAUUGACGGAAGGGCACCACCAGGAGUGGAGCCUGCGGCUUAAUUUGACUCAACACGGGAAAUCUCACCCGGCCCGGACACUGGAAGGAUUGACAGAUUGAGAGCUCUUUCUUGAUUCGGUGGAUGGUGGUGCAUGGCCGUUCUUAGUUGGUGGACCGUUGAUCUGUCUGGUUGAUUCCGAUAACGAACGAGACUCUAGCCUGCUAAAUAGCUGGCCCAUACUAUCGGUGUGCCGUUACCGUGCCUUCGCGAACCGCGGUUAGGUUGCCGUUGUCGUUUUUCAUUCGACCUAAGUCUUUUCAUAUUUUGAUUGAUGCCGUAGACGUGCACGUGUUGGCCUUCGGUCUGUCAAUGUUCAUCCCCGACUUGGGGCGCGUUUCGGCGCGUUCCUUGUAGGUGCCGUUGAUCUUGCAGCCGACGCGUUUUUCCCGUGUGCGGCGAAAGCUGAUAUUUUUUUGUGGGAGGCGGACGGGAGUCUGUUGGCGCAGCGUGUUUUACCCCGUGGGGAUGUUGGUGCGAGUCGGCCUCCGGAGUGGGUCAAACGCUUCUUAGAGGGACAAGCGGCGUAUAGCCGCGCGAGAUUGAGCAAUAACAGGUCUGUGAUGCCCUUAGAUGUCCGGGGCCGCACGCGCGCUACAAUGAAACGGUGAGCAGGUUUCAUGACCUUUUCUGAGAGGAACGGGUAACCCUAUGAAUUCGUUUCAUGGUUGGGAUCGGGGCUUGAAACUAACCCCGUGAACUAGGAAUUCCCAGUAGGCGCGAGUCAUCAACUCGCGCCGAUUACGUCCCUGCCCUUUGUACACGCCGCCCGUCGCUACUACCGAUUGGAUGAUGNAGCAAGGUCUUUGGACUGGCAAUCGUGACGGCGUUCGCGUCGUUGUGGUAUGCCGGAAAGAUGACCAAACUAUAUCAUCUAGAGGAAGUAAAAGUCGUAACAAGGUUUCC
rnacentral:rRNA from 1 species